GUUGUGAUUAUUAUCUUAUUAUAUUACAAAAUAUUAAUAAUUAUUUACAUUAUUGAGUUUUGGUGUCACAAUGUUUAAAAGUCGUACAUUAAAGUUACUAAAAGGUUUUGGAAUCAAACCUCCUGAAGAUACAAAAAAAGAAAAAGAAAAUGCAAUUAACAAUACACAGUUCAAGAAUGUGGAAAAAGUAAUGCAUUGGCUGGAAUCAGAAUUUAAUGGCAUUCCUUGUGUCAAUGAAGAUGUUGAAGAGAAUAUUGAUUGUAUAUAAAUAAAAAUGAACCUUUUAAAACUUUAAAAUGUAUGCCAGUAAACACUAUUAUUCAUAACGAACCAGAUUAUUAUGAACUUCAAAAUGUUUGUGAAGAAACAAAUUCUGUUUAAGAUAUUAGUCACCAUAUUAAUGAAACCUUGGUUCAAUCAAAAGAUGGAACAAAGGAAUUUAAUGAGUGGAAUACAAUUUCUAAUAGCUUGAUUGAAUCAACAAACCAUA